rnacentral:rRNA from 2 species
UUGAUCUCAAAUCAGGCAGGACUA